AUGAUGGACUAUAGGACAGGACUGCUGCUUCUAACUAUCUGCUGGGCAGGUGGUGAUGGUCAGACUCUGACAGAAUCUGAACCAGCAGUUAAAAAGCCUGGAGAAUCCCACAAACUGACCUGUACAACCUCUGGGUUAUCAUUCAGUAGCUACCCUAUGGCCUGGAUCAGACAGGCUCCUGGAAAAGGACUGGAGUGGAUUGCUUAUAUCAGUAGUGGUGGUGGUAGCAUAUACUACUCUCAGUCAGUUCAAGGCCGGUUCACCAUCUCCAGAGACAACAGCAGAGAGAAGCUGUAUCUCCAGAUGAACAGUCUGAAGACUGAAGAUUCUGCUGUUUAUUAUUGUGCUCGAGACAACACUGGAGGGCAGUCACUAUCAACUUUCUCUGUCAGUAAACUGAGACACUCAGGUUCACUUUUCUCACUGAUCUGA